GUCGUANCAUAGUAGGUGUACUNGAAAGUGUAUCUAGGAUUAUAU
rnacentral:rRNA from 1 species